rnacentral:lncRNA from 1 species
UCACAAAUAGCAUAAGGAAAUGCUAAGGGUAUAUAUGGGAAGCUCAUCUAGUGCAAAGUGUACAAGGUGCAGUAUGAUACAAAUGCAAUGGUAAAAGAGAUGGGGUUCGACUCAAAAUGAAGAAAGCUCAUGAGGGGUGAAACCAAUCUAGGAAAAGUUCCGUGUCAAAAGAAGAACCACCAAGGAUCCCAAUUGAGGACCAUAGAAAAGAUACCAAUUGAAGGAUCAAAAAUUGAUAUCACUUGAACAAAAUGAACUCAAAUUGAAAGAUCAAAUCUGAUACGAAUGAAAAGAUCAAAAGCAAAUACCGAAAACCAAAGCAAGUCCUUGGACCAAACUCCCCCUCGAAUAAAGCUGAACUCCCCCUCAACAAAAAACACCUAGCAAAAGAAAAGCUAGGAAAAGAAGGGGCAAAAGAAAAGCUCCAACUCCC